rnacentral:lncRNA from 1 species
CAAAUGUCCAUGGUUAAUUUGUUGUUUGGAACUACUAAGAUAACAUGGGGAAGUUUGUUCAAUUGACCUCUUGGGAAAAAAGUGUAGCUGUUUCCUUGAAUAAGGAAGGCUAUUCAAGUCCUGCUGUAGCUAAUAGGUUUUAUUGUAAUCAGUCAACAGAGUCUUGUUUGCUAUCAAAAUUAUCGAAAACAGGAUUAGUGGAUAGAAAAGUCGGAACAGGACCAAAAAGGCUGUCUACCACUGCUGAAGAUAGGAUUUUGAAACAAUUGAAUUUGAAAAGUUGAGAUGCAUCAUCCACAGACCUAAAAUGCGAGUGGGAGGAGGUCACUGGUCUAAGAGAUAGUGCAGUCACAGUAAGAUGGUGACUAUUUCAAUCAGGACUGAAAGACUGCCCUCCU